UUCAAAAAGUUAUUAACCUAGCGUUGUGCAUUUUUGAUCUCCUCAGAGUACACGUGCCGCUUCUUUUCUCCAAAAAUGAAAACCCUCCUAAAACUUUAAUCCUAAACAACGUUUCUUCUUCCUCUCUCAAACCCUAGAACAUAAAAGUAAUAGAAAUCAAGGCUCUAUGUUGUGAAGAGCGUCAAAAACUCUGCUCACUCGAUUAAUCAAGGCUCGUUUAUACUAGGCUUGAUUUUUCCCCCAACCUUCAUCCUCGUUUAAAAUUUUUCUUGCUAUGAAACCGAAUCAGAGUCUGAUAAGCAAUUGCGUGAUGAUUAUGGAAGGCAAAGGUGUCUGGGAGAUGAAUAUGCCAAAGAGAAUGAGUCAAAGGCCGCAAAAGGAUUUCCUCGGUCGAAGGCAUGGCUGCUGCGGCUGAAAGGCUUGUUUCUCAAUCUUCUGUCCUGAAGCAAUUGGUAGUAGUUGUUAAGAGCAAGACAGUUCGAGAACUUUAGAAGAUGAAAUCAAGGGAACAUCUUGCAUUUCUUGGUUGUACAAUUGAGUGGACUAAACACAAUUGUCCUCUACAUAGACGAUACCGUUACAAGUCACCGGAUAAACGUGACCAGAAGUUAUACACUUCAGUUUUUCAAGUUACUAAAAUUUUGCAAGAGGAUCCCAACAUGAACUAUGUGCUGCCCAAAAUUGACUGCAAUAUUUCAAGUUGCAAAAGUUUUGCCAGAGGAUCCUACCACAAACUAUUUGCUGCUCUAGAAUGACUUAAAUGUUUCAAGUUACUCAAGUUUUGCAAGAUGAUUCGAACAUGAGCCAUAUUAAGUUAUAUCAUGUUGCUAUAUUAAAUUAGAAUAUUUUAUUUUACCAUGAAAUUCUAAAUUUUGAUAUAUGUUAAGUUAUGUUUCAGGUUAAUUAUAAAUUUUGAUGUACAUUAAGUAAUGUUUGAUCUUGAGAAAUGUUUUGGUUAAAUAAGUUCAUAUAUUAAAUUUAUUAUCUAUUUUAGAGUUUGUGUAUGUACAAUCAAGAAAAUGUUUAUUUUUUUUAAAAUUAAUUCAUUUAGCGGGGUUUAAAACCUCUAAGAUAUGUUUAAUAACCGUUGCAAUAAACACCAAAUAAAAUUCACGACGGUUUAAAACCGUUGCAACCAGCAUUGAAAAGAGAAUUUAAACUGAAAUGCACGACAGUUGGUAACUGUCGUUAUUUGCAAUUUACGACAGUUUCCUACCCGCCGCGAUUGAUAACGACAGUUGG